GUUGCCUGAGUACAAAAACACACAUACACCGUCACAGAGAUUGGGGUGCUCAUAGCCAGAGUCAAUCUUUGGGGUGUGUGGAGGCGUAAC
rnacentral:sRNA from 1 species